rnacentral:rRNA from 1 species
GGCUGUCUCCACCCGAGACUCAGUGAAAUUGAACUCGCUGUGAAGAUGCAGUGUACCCGCGGCUAGACGGAAAGACCCCGUGAACCUUUACUAUAGCUUGACACUGAACAUUGAGCCUUGAUGUGUAGGAUAGGUGGGAGGCUUUGAAGCGUGGACGCCAGUCUGCGUGGAGCCAACCUUGAAAUACCACCCUUUAAUGUUUGAUGUUCUAACGUAGGCCCCUUAUCGGGGUUGCGGACAGUGUCUGGUGGGUAGUU